UACGUAGGGUGCGAGCGUUAAUCGGAAUUACUGGGCGUAAGGCGUGCGCAGGCGGUUUUGUAAGCCAGAUGUGAAAUCCCCGGGCUUAACCUGGGAAUGGCAUUUGGGACUGCAAGGCUGGAGUUUGGCAGAGGAGACUGGAAUUCCUGGUGUAGCAGUGAAAUGCGUAGAUAUCAGGAGGAACACCGAUGGCGAAGGCAGGUCUCUGGGCUGAAACUGACGCUCAUGCACGAAAGCGUGGGGAGCAAACAGG
rnacentral:rRNA from 1 species